UGGGGAAUAUUGCACAAUGGGCGCAAGCCUGAUGCAGCCAUGCCGCGUGUAUGAAGAAGGCCUUCGGGUUGUAAAGUACUUUCAGCGGGGAGGAAGGGAGUAAAGUUAAUACCUUUGCUCAUUGACGUUACCCGCAGAAGAAGCACCGGCUAACUCCGUGCCAGCAGCCGCGGUAAUACGGAGGGUGCAAGCGUUAAUCGGAAUUACUGGGCGUAAAGCGCACGCAGGCGGUUUGUUAAGUCAGAUGUGAAAUCCCCGGGCUCAACCUGGGAACUACAUCUGAUACUGGCAAGCUUGAGUCUCGUAGAGGGGGGUAGAAUUCCAGGUGUAGCGGUGAAAUGCGUAGAGAUCUGGAGGAAUACCGGUGGCGAAGGCGGCCCCCUGGACGAAGACUGACGCUCAGGUGCGAAAGCGUGGGGAGCAAACAGG
rnacentral:rRNA from 1 species